rnacentral:rRNA from 1 species
AACGAACGCUGGCGGCAGGCUUAACACAUGCAAGUCGAACGCCCCGCAAGGGGAGUGGCAGACGGGUGAGUAACACGUGGGAACAUACCCUUUGGUUCGGAACAACGUCUGGAAACGGACGCUAAUACCGGAUACGCCCGAGAGGGAAAGGCUCGCUGCCGAAGGAUUGGCCCGCGUUCGAUUAGCUUGAUGGCGGGUAACGGCCCACCAUGGCGACGAUCGAUAGCUGGUCUGAGAGGAUGGCCAGCCACAUUGGGACUGAGACACGGCCCAAACUCCUACGGGAGGCAGCAGUGGGGAAUAUUGGACAAUGGGCGCAAGCCUGAUCCAGCCAUGCCGCGUGAGUGAUGACGGCCUUAGGGUUGUAAAGCUCUUUCGCACGCGA